UACGUAGGGGGCAAGCGUUGUUCGGAAUUACUGGGCGUAAAGGGCUUGUAGGUGGCCAACUAAGUCAGACGUGAAAUCCCUCGGCUUAACCGGGGAACUGCGUCUGAUACUGGAUGGCUGGAGUGUGGGAGAGGGAUGCGGAAUUCCAGGUGUAGCGGUGAAAUGCGUAGAUAUCUGGAGGAACACCGGUGGCGAAGGCGGCAUCCUGGACCAUUACUGACACUGAAAAGCGAAAGCCAGGGGAGCAAACGGG
rnacentral:rRNA from 1 species